rnacentral:rRNA from 1 species
AUUGAACGCUGGCGGCAGGCCUAACACAUGCAAGUCGAGCGGAUGAAGGGAGCUUGCUCCUGGAUUCAGCGGCGGACGGGUGAGUAAUGCCUAGGAAUCUGCCUGGUAGUGGGGGAUAACGUCCGGAAACGGGCGCUAAUACCGCAUACGUCCUGAGGGAGAAAGUGGGGGAUCUUCGGACCUCACGCUAUCAGAUGAGCCUAGGUCGGAUUAGCUAGUUGGUGGGGUAAAGGCCUACCAAGGCGACGAUCCGUAACUGGUCUGAGAGGAUGAUCAGUCACACUGGAACUGAGACACGGUCCAGACUCCCACGGGAGGCAGCAGUGGGGAAUAUUGGACAAUGGGCGAAAGCCUGAUCCAGCCAUGCCGCGUGUGUGAAGAAGGUCUUCGGAUUGUAAAACACUUUAAGUUGGGAGGAAGGGCAGUAAGUUAAUACCUUGCUGUUUUGACGUUACCAACAGAAUAAGCACCGGCUAACUUCGUG